rnacentral:tRNA from 2 species
CUCCUCAUAGUUCAACGGAUAGAACAAGGAUCUCCUAAGUCCUAAAUAUAGGUUCGAUUCCUAUUGAGGAGA